UACGUGGGGUGCAAGCGUUAUCCGGAAUUAUUGGGCGUAAAGAGCUCGUAGGCGGUCUGUCGCGUCGAUCGUGAAAACUUGGGGCUUAACCCUGAGCUUGCGGUCGAUACGGGCAUGACUGGAGUUCGGCAGGGGAGACUGGAAUUCCUGGUGUAGCGGUGAAAUGCGCAGAUAUCAGGAGGAACACCGGUGGCGAAGGCGGGUCUCUGGGCCGAUACUGACGCUGAGGAGCGAAAGCGUGGGGAGCGAACAGG
rnacentral:rRNA from 1 species